rnacentral:rRNA from 1 species
GACGAACGCUGGCGGCGUGCCUAAUACAUGCAAGUAGAACGCUGAAGAGAGGAGCUUGCUCUUCUUGGAUGAGUUGCGAACGGGUGAGUAACGCGUAGGUAACCUGCCUGGUAGCGGGGGAUAACUAUUGGAAACGAUAGCUAAUACCGCAUAAAAUUGAUUAUUGCAUGAUAAUUAAUUGAAAGAUGCAAUUGCAUCACUACCAGAUGGACCUGCGUUGUAUUAGCUAGUUGGUGAGGUAACGGCUCACCAAGGCGACGAUACAUAGCCGACCUGAGAGGGUGAUCGGCCACACUGGGACUGAGACACGGCCCAGACUCCUACGGGAGGCAGCAGUAGGGAAUCUUCGGCAAUGGGGGGAACCCUGACCGAGCAACGCCGCGUGAGUGAAGAAGGUUUUCGGAUCGUAAAGCUCUGUUGUAAGAGAAGAACGGGUGUGAGAGUGGAAAGUUCACACUGUGACGUAUCUACCAGAAAGGACGG